ensembl:lncRNA
AAUUGCUGGGAUUAAAUCUCGGCUGCUUGUGCAACUGUGUGUGCAGGACUGGUGUGCACAUGGCUGCCUGGAUGUCUGUCGUCCAGAUGGCACCAGAUGGGGUCUUCUGUGAUAAGCAGGAGUGAGGCUGGGCAGCUGGAGACAGGGGCCGGUGGGAUGCUAAGUCCUCCUCUGCACCCAUGUCCCUAAUAUUCCUGCUUCUAUUCAGUUCUUCCCAUCGUGCAUGCGUGCAAGUUGCUUCAGCCGUGUCCAACUCUUUGCAACCCUAUGGACUAUAGCCCGCCAGGCUCCCCUGUCCACAGGAUUCUCCAGGCCAGAAUACUGGAGUGGGUUGCCAUGCCCUCCUCCAGGGAUCUUCCCAACCCAGGGAUCAAACCCACAUCUUUUAUGCCUCCUGCAUUGGCAGGCGGGUUAUUUACUACUAGCACCACCUGGGAAGCUCUCUUCCUGCCACCCCCGUCUUUUCGAAGGCUUCCAUCUCUCUCACCUGCAUUCCUUCAAUCCUGUCCUCCAAGCCAGUGUCCGCAGCUCCCUCUGCCAACCUUCCCCCACCUUCCCCCCACACAAUCAUCAGGGCGGUCCUUCUCAAUUGCAGAUCCAAUCAUGUCACAUCCCUGCUCUGAAUCUGUCAGUAACUUCCCAAGCAGGCAUGCCUCCUUCUCUCUGGAAGCCGUUUCUGAUGACACCAGCCCAUUGUAGGUCCCCAGAGACGAGGAUCCUGUGUCUGUCUGCCUCAGCAUCGUGCCUUCGACAGAGAGCAUGGUAGUCGUUACAUAAGUAUCUCACGGAAGAGUGAAUGCACAGGCCAGAGUCUGGGAGCCCCUUCCUCGUGGGUGCUGCCUCAGAGCCCCAGCUUCAGGGCUGAAUCUCUUGCUACCAUCAGACCCUUCAGGAAGCAUCACAGUUACCUUCCUCUCCAUCUUCCGAGGCACUCCCUCUGCUCCCAGGACCAGAAGCUCUGGGAGAGUAGAGACCACACGAGUUUCCUUCUGACUUUCCCAGACAUUGCCUGGCACUUUGCAGCAACCCCAUGACUGUUAUCUAAGUCAACUUUUUGACUCAUUCCAACCCCACAGCUACACAGCCACUAGCUGUGUCAUCUUUGGGAAUACAUGUCUUUCUAGUUUCACCUGUGAAAUGAGCUCAAGAGUAACUACUACUCACCAGAAAACACCAUCAAUGACUGGACACCUGUUUUCUUAUAUACCACUAAGAAAACAAACAAACAAACAAAAAAGAAUACUUCCGCAAACCUUUGACUCAAUGUUUUUAAUCUCUUGGAAUUUCAUUUUAUAUUUAAAAUUAUUUUAAAAUCUCUUUGAGAUUUAAUCCAUAUAGAUUUUAUCUCAUGUCACUCUUGCAUGCGUGUGUGCUAAGACGCUUCAGUUGUGUAUGACUCUCUGCGACCCGCUGGACUAUAGCCCACCAGGCUCUUCUAUCCAUGGGAUUCACCAGACAGGAAUACUGGAAUGGGUUGCCAGGCCCUCCUCCAGGGGAUCUUCUCAACCUAGGAAUCCAACCCACAUCUCUUAAGUCACCUGCAUUGGCAGCCGGGUUCUUUACCACUAGCCCCAACUGGGAAGCCCAUGUCACUCUCUGGCAUGAAUAAAAAGG